UGCAGUGGACGACUUACAAGCAAAGAAAUACUAUAGACAGGAGCAGAAAAUCAGCAUCACCAUGAUCGCAAAGAUGUUUGUCAUCGUUCUUCUUGUUGUUGCCUGCUGCAACGCAGCGACAACAACCACAUCUGCAGCGACAACAACCACAUCUGCAGCGACAACAACCACAGCUACAGGGACAACAACCACAGCUGCACCAACAACAACCACAACUGCUCCAACAACAACCACAACUGCUGCGACAACAACCACAGCUUCUCCAACAACAACCACAUCUGUAGCGACAACAACUACAGCUGCUUCAACAACAACCACAACUGUUCCAACAACAACCAAAACUGCCGCGACAACAACUACAGCUGCUUCAACAACCAUAACUGCAGCGACAGCAACAACCACCUCCUCUGCUAUUCUCAACAACAUCAGCUUCCUUACAGUAGUUCUGGCUCUGUCGUCACAUGUACUCAGAUCAUGUUUUUAACAUUUCUUAAGUUCACAUCCUCCAAAUGAAGCAACAAACUGAAGUACCUGUGACCAUUUGAAAUGUUUAAGUAACCAAAUGUUUAAUCAUAUAUUUAUUCUUAUUUAUUAUGGUUUUAUUUAUUUAUUUAUAUCUAUCAGAGAGAAGUUGUUAAAUGUUUUCCUGAUGUUUGUGUGUUCCAAACUUGUGUGAUCAGAGGACUGAUAUUAAAAAUUUAGUGAUGUCUACAAUCUCAACACUGAGCUUAUCAUAAAUAAAGUCUUUUUGCACUG
ensembl:lncRNA